GUUACGAGCGCACCCCUAUCCUUAUUUGCCAGCGCAUAAUGGCGGGAACUAUAAGGAGACUGCCGGUCAUAAACCGGAGGAAGGUGGGGAUGACGUCAAGUCAUCAUGGCCCUUAUGGGGAGGGCUACACACGUGCUACAAUGGCCGGUACAGAGGGCGGCGAAGCCGCGAGGUGGAGCGAAUCUCAGAAAACCGGUCGUAGUCCGGAUUGCAGUCUGCAACUCGACUGCAUGAAGCCGGAAUCGCUAGUAAUCGCGGAUCAGAACGCCGCGGUGAAUACGUUCCCGGGCCUUGUACGCACCGCCCGUCACACCAUGGGAGUGGGCUGUACCAGAAGUAGGUAGUCUAACCUUCGGGAGGACGCUUACCACGGUGUGGUUCAUGACUGGGGUGAAGUCGUAACAAGGUAGCCCUAGGGGAACCUGGGGCUGGAUCA
rnacentral:rRNA from 1 species